rnacentral:rRNA from 1 species
GAUGAACGCUAGCGGCAGGCCUAAUACAUGCAAGUCGGACGGGAUAGGAGAGCUUGCUUUCCUUGAGAGUGGCGCACGGGUGCGUAACACGUAUGCAACCUACCUUUGUCAGGGGGAUAGCCUCUCGAAAGAGAGAUUAAGACCGCAUAACAUUAUUGAGUGGCAUCAUUUAAUAAUCAAAUAUUUAUAGGACAAAGAUGGGCAUGCGGAACAUUAGCUAGUUGGUAAGGUAACGGCUUACCAAGGCUACGAUGUUUAGGGGAUCUGAGAGGAUGAUCCCCCACACUGGUACUGAGACACGGACCAGACUCCUACGGGAGGCAGCAGUAAGGAAUAUUGGUCAA